CCUACGGGAGGCAGCAGUGGGGAAUAUUGCACAAUGGGGGAAACCCUGAUGCAGCGACGCCGCGUGAAGGAAGAAGUAUUUCGGUAUGUAAACUCCUAUCAGCAGGGAAGAAAAUGACGGUAUCUGACUAAGAAGCCCCGGCUAACUACGUGCCAGCAGCCGCGGUAAUACGUAGGGGGCAAGCGUUAUCCGGAUUGACUGGGCGUAAAGGGAGCGUAGGCGGGUCAGCAAGUCAGAAGUGAAAGCCCAGGGCUGAACCCCGGGACUGCUUUUGAAACUGUUGUACUAGAUUGCGGGAGAGGUAGGUGGAAUUCCUGGUGUAGGGGUAAAAUGCGUAGAGAUUAAGAGGAACACCAGUGGCGAAGGCGACUUGCUGGACUAUAAAUGACGCUGAGGCUCGAAAGCGUGGGGAGCAAACAGGAUUAGAUACCCCAGUAGUC
rnacentral:rRNA from 1 species